GGCAGAGAGAGAGUAGAGGAGUAGAGGCCGGCCAUGAGCACUCAGAAAGAGAGAGAGAGGGGAAAGGGGCGAGGAGACAGAGUGGAAGCAAGAAGACAAGAGGGCAAGAGAUCGAGGAGGGGGCAAGCAGCCCUUUUUAGAGUGGGUCAGGCCUACCUGGCUGUUGCCAGGUAACUGUGGGCAGAGCUUAGACAGAAUGCUAACAAUGGGGAUCUGCUGGGAAAGGAGGAGGUGUCCUUGGACUGCUGGGCAGGCCAGGUUGGAGCUUUUCAUACCUCCGUGGGAGGGUAGGGAGGUAGAGGACCUUAAGGAAGCCUGGGUGACCCUCAAGGACCCAUGGGGCAUUGGCUCAGGGCAGUCCAGGCCUGAGCUCCCAUGGCUGGUCUUGGAGGUAACCUUCCCAGAGAGGCCCUCUGGCUGCUCCCUGCUCCCCUGGCCUGGUCCUGCCCUCAGCCCUGCUUCACAGGAACAGGCCUGCUCAGUUAUGCAGCCCAGAUCACGGGCAUCUCCGAAGCUAAUGAAUGAUCCGCACUUGGGCUCAGGUCAGCAGACCCUGCCAGCUUCCCGGGUCCCGUCUUGAUGGCUCAUUAUUGCAGCAUUCCCAGGAGACGGAUGGAAUUUUUUCCGCCAUCACCUAAUUACAUUCCAGCUCAACGUGAGACGGUGACAUGUGUCCAAUCCACACACGAUUCCCAAUAAGCCUGAGACUGUUCCCACAGAGGGUGUGAAUGGGGAUGUGUUAAUCUUGAAGUGUGUGUGGAGCGAUUUCCUGGGGAGAGCCCCAGAUGAGAGCCCCCUCUUCUGUCAGAAGCAGACAACCCCACCUGGGUAGCUACGGAAGUAUGUGUGGACAGAAGUCACUGCAAAGAGAAGUGGCAGGGGGCGGGGGGGGGGGGUAUGGGAAGGCCUGUCACAGAGACAGGAGGGGACUCUGAUGGUCUGGAAGUCAGGGUCUUGAAGGUACAUCCAAACUGUGCAGGGGCUCCUAGACAGGACUCCUUCCCCAUGCUAAGAGGAGUGCCUCAGUGUGUCCCAUCCCUAAGGCAUCCUUGGUAAUGGGAAGUACACGGUUUUAUCUUUAGUGGCCCUGAGGCCUGGAUACUUCAUUAUCUCUCUGCUCAAGACAAGGGACAGUGAUGCAGGGUGAGAAUGGUCCUGGCUCCUGUUCUAUCUCCCAAAAAUGGAAAGCAGAGUCGCUGCCCAUGCCAAUACUCUUCACUGUUUCUCCUGUAAUGCUCAGUGGCCUUUCCCACACCCAUCUCUUUCAGAGCCUCAAGCUCUCUGCCCCCCUCCCCCCAAACCACUCUCCUAUGCUGACAGAUGGAACGGAGCAAGAAAACAAAGGAUGACGUGGGCAGGUAAGAGGGUACAGGUGGCAGCCAGGCCCAACCAAGGCCCUGGGUUCCAGCCACCGCUGCCUCGGAAGGUGUGGGAGUAGGGCUCUGGUUGUCAUGUCUUUGGGUUUGCCAGAGGGUAGCGUUUCCAGAUUUGUACCUGCAAUUGGUUAACACCCGUAUUUGAAAAAUAAAGCAGACAAGAACCAGUGUGUGGGCAAACACCACUCCACCUGUAGCCUGGAUUCUGCCUGAGGCCAUGGUUGCCAACAGCUGCCAGAACUGUGUACUCACAAGGAGAGUACUUUCCUCCCCGCCAAGCCCCACUCCAUGGCUCCCUUGCUGCAGGCCUGUUUCAGUUGUUCCCAUUGAACAAAACCAUGUAGAAACGAAGCAACUGCCUUUCCCAUCCCUUCACCGGAAGCAAGAUGACUCCCCUUCCCACCUCUUCAAGCCCUGUACCCGGGGACAGAGCCUCCUUCUCAUGCACCAACGCCCGGUUAUACCGAAAUCCCAGUUCCCCCUUUCCACCUUGCCUCAGGUGCCCCUGAGGUCAGAGCCGCCUUAAAAAUCUCCUCCUCCCCAAAUUCCUCUGCAGAACUCUCUCCUAGAACUGCUCCGAUCUUUCUGGACAUUCCAGUCGGUCCCUGUCUCAGGCACCCUUCUUAUUUCUCAGCCCCGGUCACAGGCAUCUCUCAUAUGUCAUUUUACCAUGGGUGGGGUAGGGUGGGGGCAGGGCGGCGCACAUCCUCUGUAACCACGAUUUCCCUCUUACUCUCCUAACUCUAGAUCAGUGCCAAAUGGUUUGCAUGUGUGUCCUGUUGGGGUCUCCAUGCCUUGCCCCUCUCCUAAACCUGUCCCUCCACCACCCUGUCACUUUCUAGAAAGCACAAGCAGCUCAGGCUUCCAGGAAGCUGGGACUCUGCGUUCUCUUGGUCACUUGGAUCCAGUCUACCAAGUCCUGUAGCUCCUACUUCUGAACUUCCGGUGCUUUAGCUUGUACUUCCGGUGCUUUCUCCUGACUGCUCAGCGGCUUCCUACCUGUCUCCUGCGAGCGUCCCAUUCUCCUGCACCCUUCUCUUAGUGCCUCUGAAAGUUGGAUCUGAUGACAUCACUCGAUAUCUGUGACCCUCUCUUCAGGAAUAUGUCUAACUCUGCUCAGUACCCUGGACUCAGCCAACAUUCGCAUCGUGCCAACACCUCAACAGGAGGCUGUUGCAACUCCUGGUGCGCGCUGAGCUCUCUCCUAUCUCCAGCCUUGGGUCAUGCUGUCUCCUCCAUCUGGGACACCCCUCUUAGCCCUCACCCAUCUAAAUAUUCUUUUGUUGUUUGUUGUCUUAAAGACAGGGUUUCUCUGUGUAGCCCUGGCUGUCCUGGAACUCACUCUGAAGACCAGGAUGUCAGAGAUCCACCUGCCUUUGCCUCUUGAGUGCUGGGAUUAAAGGCGUGCACCACCAUGCCCAGCUUUGAAUAACUCUCCUUUUAAACUUGGCCCAGGCCAAAUGCUUUCUCUUCCCUUUGAGCCUACCCAGAACACUGUGUUCAUUCAACAUG